rnacentral:rRNA from 1 species
CCUACGGGAGGCAGCAGUGAGGAAUAUAGGUCAAUGGUCGGGAGACUGAACCAGCCAAGCCGCGUGAGGGAUGAAGGUACAGAGUAUCGUAAACCUCUUUUGUCAGGGAACAAAGGCGGGGACGUGUCCCCGGAUGAGUGUACCUGAAGAAAAAGCAUCGGCUAACUCCGUGCCAGCAGCCGCGGUAAUACGGAGGAUGCGAGCGUUAUCCGGAUUUAUUGGGUUUAAGGGGUGGUCAGGGGGUCUGUUAAGUCAGCGGGCAAAGCCCGGGGCUCAACCCCGGCCCGCCGUUGAAACUGGCAGUCUCGAGUUGGAGAGAAGUAUGCGGAAUGCGCGGUGUAGCGGUGAAAUGCAUAGAUAUCGCGCAGAACUCCGAUUGCGAAGGCAGCAUGCCGGCUCCACACUGACGCUGAGGCACGAAAGCGUGGGUAUCGAACAGGAUUAGAUACCCUAGUAGUC